rnacentral:rRNA from 1 species
UACAGAGACUGCGAGCGUUAUUCGGAUUCACUGGGCGUAAAGGGUGCGCAGGCGGCCGUGUGUGUGAGGCGUGAAAGCCCGGGGCUUAACCCCGGAAUUGCACCUCAAACUACACGGCUAGAGCAUUGGAGAGGGUAGCGGAAUUCACGGUGUAGCAGUGAAAUGCGUAGAGAUCGGGAGGAACACCAGAGGCGAAAGCGGCGACCUGGACAGGUACUGACACUCAACUACGAAAGCGUGGGGAGCAAACAGG